GCGCCGGCGCGCCGCCACUAGCCCGGGCAGCUGGGCCACCGCGCUGCUUGCAGCCAGGGCAGCAAGCGCUGCACUGGACCGCCGCCACCGCGCAACAGGCCGCGUCGGGCCGGGCUGCCACGCUCCGGCGCCGCCACCGCUCCUGGCUGCGCCGCUCUGAGCAGCCGCCGCAUCACCGACCGCGCUGCUCCUGACCGCCGUGCUCCGGGACCCUCCUCUCUGCGUCAUGUCUGCUCGUCCACUUGAUUCACUGCAGUAGAACAUCACCCCCUCUAUUCCAGUCAAGGAAGCCCAGCCACCGUCGUCGCUGUCAGAUCUGUGUCUGCAGUUUCACUGCGAAGCAUUAUGUUUGCUUUGCCUCGGAUCAAACGGAAAGGCAAGGAUGGAGAUCGUGGCUAAAGGGACCAAAGGUUCCUUGCUGUUAGAGACAACAAGCUCCACAUAAUAAGCCAACUAGCAAGCACUAGCAGAUCCUCGCCCUGUCUCCAUCCACACUAGUACGCUACCAGGCCUGGACUUUUUGUAACACCUCUCAAAACUGCUGUUAACCUGUGUAAAUUGUAUAGGCGUCCUCACACUUGCUACAGUGUACGGUUUGCCAUGCUAACUUACCUGUAAUAAUGAUUUAUAUUAUAUAUGAUAUCAUAUCUGUGCAAUAUUUUUUGCAUCGACCUUCAUUUCUAUUA